GCCCCAGUGGUGUAGUGGUAGCACGCUGGAGUAUCAAGUUUGAUUUUAGAAGGCCACGGCGUCUUCUGACAUCAAGCUUGAUUUUCCGGAGGCGCGAGUUCGAUUCCCGACUAGGGCU